UACGUAGGGUGCGAGCGUUAAUCGGAAUUACUGGGCGUAAAGCGUGCGCAGGCGGUUUUGUAAGCCAGAUGUGAAAUCCCCGGGCUUAACCUGGGAAUGGCAUUUGGGACUGCAAGGCUGGAGUGCGGCAGGGGAGACUGGAAUUCCUGGUGUAGCAGUGAAAUGCGUAGAUAUCAGGAGGAACACCGAUGGCGAAGGCAGGUCUCUGGGCUGACACUGACGCUCAUGCACGAAAGCGUGGGGAGCAAACAGG
rnacentral:rRNA from 1 species